rnacentral:misc_RNA from 1 species
GAGUGAGGGCCCUCUGGGUCCAACCUCCCACCCGUGUUUAUUUUACCUUGUUGCUUCGGCGGGCCCGCCUUAACUGGCCGCCGGGGGGCUUACGCCCCCGGGCCCGCGCCCGCCGAAGACACCCUCGAACUCUGUCUGAAGAUUGUAGUCUGAGUGAAAAUAUAAAUUAUUUAAAACUUUCAACAACGGAUCUCUUGGUUCCGGCAUCGAUGAAGAACGCAGCGAAAUGCGAUACGUAAUGUGAAUUGCAAAUUCAGUGAAUCAUCGAGUCUUUGAACGCACAUUGCGCCCCCUGGUAUUCCGGGGGGCAUGCCUGUCCGAGCGUCAUUUCUGCCCUCAAGCACGGCUUGUGUGUUGGGCCCCGUCCUCCGAUCCCGGGGGACGGGCCCGAAAGGCAGCGGCGGCACCGCGUCCGGUCCUCGAGCGUAUGGGGCUUUGUCACCCGCUCUGUAGGCCCGGCCGGCGCUUGCCGAUCAACCCAAAUUUUUAUCCAGGUUGACCUCGGAUCAGGUAGGGAUACCCGCUGAACUUAAGCAUAUCAAUAA